CGGCGGCGGGGUCCGCCGCAGUCGGUGCCUCGGGGAGCCGGGGCUCGGGCGGGUUCUCCACGGUUCCAGGGCUGGCCGGGGCCUCGCGGCGCUUCCAAAGUCCUGCAGCCCCGCUGCGCAGAGCGGUGCUUGGGGUAGGGCAUCCUCCCUCCCCCGGGCCCCUGGACUCUGCAGCGCCUGGUCGCCUGCCCGCUGGACUCUGCUUGCCGCGAAGCCCGCAUUUAAGGACAGGGGGGCCCCGCCACUAGGAAGGGACAGCUAAGCUGCCCAGGCGACGCUGUGCCCCCCUGUGAUGACAGCGGGAGUUCCCAGGAAUGACAUCUCAAGGGAAAAUGAUCCAGAAAGGAGUUGCCAAAGGGAAUCUGUGAAGUACCAGUCAGCCAUGGCUAUGUCUAGCAGUUCAUCCACCAUUAACUCCUCAACUUGAAAAAUCCUUCAGGAAUCCACGUGAAAGGUAUGCAUGGCCUCCAUGGACAGCAGACAGUAGAAAAGCAGAGAGGCUUCAUUCUUCACAACCUCUGAAAGAUCGUCUUACAUCACCAUGCCU
rnacentral:lncRNA from 12 species